AUUUAUAAAUUUGGUGAUGUAAUUUCAAAUAUUAUAUUUAUUUUUUAUGGCUGUUACUUCAGUUCUAUAAUUCUUUCACUAAGAAAAAGGUAUUAAUAACAUACUAUAAAGAGCAUCCAUUUGAUAAAUGUGAACACUGUGGUGGGUGUUUUUUUUAACUUCUCUGCACUUUUAUACUUUCAGACUAGCAAAAAAUGAACCCUUUGUGCUAAAGGAGCUCUGAACAGUAGGAUUGAGUGCCUUUUCAAAAGUAAUACUUUCUCUAAAUGAUUGAACAACUCA
rnacentral:lncRNA from 1 species